rnacentral:rRNA from 1 species
GACGAACCGUGUGAACGUUUUUCGGAAUAACUGGGCUUAAAGGGUGCGUAGGCGGGUCCGCCAGUGUGUGGUGGAAUCCUCCCGCUCAACGGGAGAACUGCCGUGGAUACUGCGGACCUCGAGGAAGAUAGGGGCGUGCGGAACAGUUGGUGGAGCGGUGAAAUGCGUUGAUAUCAACUGGAACUCCGGUGGCGAAGGCGGCACGCUGGGUCUUUUCUGACGCUGAGGCACGAAAGCUAGGGGAGCAAACGGG